GGGGAGGGCGCGUGCUAUACUGCAGUCGAGCGGACUGAUGGGAGCUUGCUCCCUGAUGUUAGCGGCGGACGGGUGAGUAACACGUGGGUAACCUGCCUGUAAGACUGGGAUAACUCCGGGAAACCGGGGCUAAUACCGGAUGGUUGUUUGAACCGCAUGGUUCAAACAUAAAAGGUGGCUUCGGCUACCACUUACAGAUGGACCCGCGGCGCAUUAGCUAGUUGGUGAGGUAACGGCUCACCAAGGCAACGAUGCGUAGCCGACCUGAGAGGGUGAUCGGCCACACUGGGACUGAGACACGGCCCAGACUCCUACGGGAGGCAGCAGUAGGGAAUCUUCCGCAAUGGACGAAAGUCUGACGGAGCAACGCCGCGUGAGUGAUGAAGGUUUUCGGAUCGUAAAGCUCUGUUGUUAGGGAAGAACAAGUACCGUUCGAAUAGGGCGGUACCUUGACGGUACCUAACCAGAAAGCCACGGCUAACUACGUGCCAGCAGCCGCGGUAAUACGUAGGUGGCAAGCGUUGUCCGGAAUUAUUGGGCGUAAAGGGCUCGCAGGCGGUUUCUUAAGUCUGAUGUGAAAGCCCCCGGCUCAACCGGGGAGGGUCAUUGGAAACUGGGGAACUUGAGUGCAGAAGAGGAGAGUGGAAUUCCACGUGUAGCGGUGAAAUGCGUAGAGAUGUGGAGGAACACCAGUGGCGAAGGCGACUCUCUGGUCUGUAACUGACGCUGAGGAGCGAAAGCGUGGGGAGCGAACAGGAUUAGAUACCCUGGUAGUCCACGCCGUAAACGAUGAGUGCUAAGUGUUAGAGGGGUUUCCGCCCCUUAGUGCUGCAGCUAACGCAUUAAGCACUCCGCCUGGGGAGUACGGUCGCAAGACUGAAACUCAAAGGAAUUGACGGGGGCCCGCACAAGCGGUGGAGCAUGUGGUUUAUUCGAAGCACGCGAAGAACCUUACCAGGUCUUGACAUCCUCUGACAAUCCUAGAGAUAGGACGUCCCCUUCGGGGGCAGAGUGUGAC
rnacentral:rRNA from 1 species